GCGAUACCCUUGGUGCCGAAGUUAACACAUUAAGCAUUCCGCCUGGGGAGUACGGGCGCAAGACUGAAACUCAAAGGAAUUGACGGGGACCCGCACAAGCAGUGGAGUAUGUGGUUUAAUUCGAAGCAACGCGAAGAACCUUACCAGGUCUUGACAUCCCCCUGACCGGUCUAGAGAUAGGCCUUUCCUUCGGGACAGGGGAGACAGGUGGUGCAUGGUUGUCGUCAGCUCGUGUCGUGAGAUGUUGGGUUAAGUCCCGCAACGAGCGCAACCCUUGACUUUAGUUGCCAGCAGGUAAGGCUGGGCACUCUAGAGUGACUGCCGGUGACAAACCGGAGGAAGGUGGGGAUGACGUCAAAUCAUCAUGCCCCUUAUGACCUGGGCUAC
rnacentral:rRNA from 1 species